rnacentral:lncRNA from 1 species
UCCAAAAGCUUCCGUAAGACUCCUCUUAAACUCAAAAGAGUAACACUAGGUCUCAAAUUGACACCUUAACUUCAAAUGGCUAUAACUUAUUCACCCUAACUCCAAACCCUAUAAAAUUUGCACAAAAAUUGUAGCCAAAACCCUAAACUUUACAACCCUUGCCUUUGAUUUCCUAAUGGCCUCUUUGAAGUCGCCGAAACCCUUAUCAAGGUCGCGGGCAGCCUCCUAAAAGCCC